GCUCAGGAUGAACGCUGGCGGCGCGCCUAACACAUGCAAGUCGAGCGAUGAACAUUCAUUGAUCCCUUCGGGGUGAUUUGAUUGGGAUUAGCGGCGAACGGGUGAGUAACGCGUGAGGAACCUGCCUCUUACAACGGGAUAGCCUCGGGAAACCGGGAUUAAUACCGUAUAAGACUCCGACAUCUCCUGAUGAUGAAGUCAAAGCGUAUGCGGUAAGAGAUGGCCUCGCGUCUGAUUAGUUAGUUGGCGGGGUAACGGCCCACCAAGACGACGAUCAGUAACCGGCCUGAGAGGGUGAACGGUCACAUUGGAACUGAGACACGGUCCAAACUCCUACGGGAGGCAGCAGUA
rnacentral:rRNA from 1 species